UACGUAGGGGGCUAGCGUUGCUCGGAAUCACUGGGCGUAAAGGGUGCGUAGGCGGGUCUUUAAGUCAGGGGUGAAAUCCUGGAGCUCAACUCCAGAACUGCCUUUGAUACUGAGGAUCUUGAGUUCGGGAGAGGUUAGCGGAACUCCGAGUGUAGAGGUGAAAUUCGUAGAUAUUCGGAAGAACACCAGUGGCGAAGGCGACUCUUUGGCCUGUAACUGACGCUGAGGCGGCGAAAAGCGUGGGGAGCAAACAGG
rnacentral:rRNA from 1 species